GUCUGCAGCUGACAUAAUUUUCUUGGCCGAAACAGACACUCCUUCAGUCACUCACUCCACUUUAGGAGAAGUUAAAAUAAUUCAAUCGCUGACUUUCGCGAUGAAUCACGCCUCUCGCGUCUUGCCUUCCUAAGAUUUGUCAAGCUUAAAGUUUUCUAUAUCCCAAUGGCCUAAUACUAAGCUCUGAUACCAACUUAAUCUGUCACGCCCCGGAUUACACGUUUCCCCAGACACGCCUACAAAUCCGUCGUAUGCAAAAAAAUUUUCCUGUAUACGAAGCGAUAGCUGUACUUGUAAACAAAUUCAAGCUACAACUAGUAGUACAGAGCUGCUAAUCUGAACUGGAUAUAAAUAAACAUUAGGUUCACAAUACAUACAAAAUCUUCCAGAUACAACAUCUCUCACUCUAGCGAGUAACAAGCAUAAGUAUGUAAAUGAACCAAAAACCAAAUCUACAUGUAGCUGGUACUCCUCUAGUAUUGCAACAAGGGAAGGGAUCUAGCUCGCGACUCCCUUUCUACGAUCAGAAUCUGCGACAACAGCAGUCGCAGAAGAAGGCUCUGCAAAAAGGGGUCAACAACUGAGUGUGAGAACUACUACAAAAGGUAAUCCUCAGUGUAUACCGCUAUCGACCUCAAUGGCUCACCCAUUAAGUCUACAGAAAAUAUGAUUAAGGAUAGUAAAGGAAAUUGAAAAAACUCUACACCUACAUGCCACUAUAUUAUCGCUAACCAAUAUUAGCUAUCUGUAGAUAUAAGUAAGAUGCAAUCUCUGACCCAAUCUCACUAGGGACUGUGAACACACUCGUCCCGCUUGUCGAAGCUACACUAACAACCACAAUGCUGGGUUGUUGGUAGGGAGCAAGUCCAACCAGGACACUACGACAACAAAGUAAAAAUAUUAAGCCCGACUCCAAAGUGGCACUUUUGGGCGUUACCCAACCGAGUAUGCAAACGUGUCUCUGCCGAGCUCAAUCAGGCUUUCACAGACUAUAGUCAAAGCAAAUGAGUUUAACUGGUCUAACAAUCAAAAUUCACGUGUCCUUGGCACAAUCCGAUGCAAAAAUAGCAAACUAGGUCGACUGUCAACCGCAACGGCACCCGACAGUCCAGAACAGUCUACACACUACUGUAAAAUAAACUCGGCAUCCCAACACGAGUGUAAACUCAUUCUACACUAAUCUGAAUAUCCACCGCAUACAAACCGUGACGAUUAAAACAAACUACAGCUCCUAAAUCUAAAUCUGGUAGUUUUCAGAAAAUGACAAUGUAGGAUCUAUCUGUUUUCUCCUAAGUCAAUUCCAGGUCCAACAUGUAAAAUUAAAUUACUAGCUUAACUCUAAAUUCAGAUGUAAAUACUAAUUCAUGAAUUCGAAUACUAGUAAGAAAAAUAGACGGAUGAUAUAUGUCGACAAAUACUAAAACUUAAAAGAUAUUCCGACGAUUUCGGUAAACUUCAACCCACCUUAAAACGCUCGUCCAACAAUGAUGAGAAGUCGAAAGGAGAGGAAAUCCCACGCUCGCCCGGCCUCCAACAGCGCUACCACGACGCACGCACGCUCGAACGGCUCUUCGGCGCAACGUCGACGUCGAUCCGAGCUCCAACCAUAGCCUCCACCAAGCACAUAACUAAAGCUAGAGAGAGAGAGAAGGAUAAUUAAGCUCCCCCACUGCCUCUCUAUCCUAAUUAAAGCAGUGGGGAUAAGAUUGAAAGGAUCAAGGCAACAAAAGAUCAAAAGGCCCUCACCUACUCAAACGGCUUCUCAACCCGCAAACUCACACACAGGGUACCGGUACCAGCCCGCUGCUGUUCCGAAACUUAGCAUCAAAUUGGCGCAACCCGAGAGCAGUCUAUUUGAAAAUACACUGGGGUAUCGGUACUCCACACUAAAAACCUGGACUUUACAGAUUCCAAUGUUAAAACUCUGCUCUCGCGUCGCACUGAGUCCGUUUUGCGUCUAUUUCACGCUAAAACGACUCCAACUUAUCCCGACACUUUCCAGAUGUGUCGACAAAUCUCAGAUGCUAAAAUCUCGCGGGCAAUCCCAAAAACCAGGGGUACCACA
rnacentral:lncRNA from 1 species